ACCCGCAGCGACCGCAACGGCGGACAAGGUGUUCGGAACUUGAUGCGAUGGGGCUUCCCGAGGAGCGGCGCAAGAGCGGCAGUGGAAGCCGGGCUCGUGAGGAGACCGGCGCCGAGGGCCGGGUGCGGGGUUGGUCCCCGCCGCCGGAGGUCAGACGCUCGGCGCACGUCCCCUCUCUGCAGCGCUACCGCGAGCUGCACCGGCGUUCUGUGGAGGAGCCACGGGGUGAGGCUGGGCCCGAGCGACUCUUGGGGGCGCCAGUGAGCAGAGGAGCGGGAGUCCGAGGGAGAUUUACCGAGCUCCGUUAGAAAGGGAGGAGAUGGAGGGUCCCUGAGGGACAUGGAAAAGGGAUUCGAAAGAGAUGGCGUUCUGUGAGAAGAAGGAGGCAUCUGUGAGGCGAGACUUCCUAGAAGUUGGGGCACUCUCUGGCGACUUGGCAGUUUUGGGAGAUGCGAGUUUUCACGAGGAGAUGCGGGUUCCGUGAGAAGAAGCGGGGAUCGGUGAGGAGAAAGUUCCCUGAGAGAGCCCUCGAGGUGAAAGGAAGGGCUCCAAGGAGCAAGGGUGAACCUUGAGGGAAGGAGAGCCCUGAAGAGAAUCACCUUUGCCUCCAAUUCAACCAUGCCUCCCUCAGACCUUUAACGAAUGCACCCAUCUCGUUUUGCUCAGCGUCAGUGCAAGUCUGUUUCCCAUCUAGGAGUCCUGCCUCUGUGUAAAAUGACAGCAAUCCCAAUACACAACUGUACGAGUUGUCAGUAUGCCGAUGCUUUGGUUGUUUUGAUGGUAUAGUGAACAAAACAAGACGGAGUGAGGUUUACCACC
rnacentral:lncRNA from 1 species